UACGUAGGGGGCAAGCGUUGUCCGGAUUUAUUGGGCGUAAAGAGCUUGUAGGUGGCUCGUCGCGUCGGGAGUGAAAACCCGCGGCUUAACCGCGGGCCUGCUUUCGAUACGGGCGGGCUAGAGUUCGGCAGGGGAGACUGGAAUUCCUGGUGUAGCGGUGGAAUGCGCAGAUAUCAGGAGGAACACCGGUGGCGAAGGCGGGUCUCUGGGCCGAUACUGACACUGAGAAGCGAAAGCGUGGGGAGCGAACAGG
rnacentral:rRNA from 1 species